rnacentral:rRNA from 2 species
UACGUAGGUCCCGAGCGUUGUCCGGAUUUAUUGGGCGUAAAGCGAGCGCAGGUGGUUUAUUAAGUCUGGUGUAAAAGGCAGUGGCUCAACCAUUGUAUGCAUUGGAAACUGGUAGACUUGAGUGCAGGAGAGGAGAGUGGAAUUCCAUGUGUAGCGGUGAAAUGCGUAGAUAUAUGGAGGAACACCGGUGGCGAAAGCGGCUCUCUGGACUGUAACUGACACUGAGGCUCGAAAGCGUGGGGAGCAAACAGG